GGUGUGAUAGCUCAGUGGUUAAGCUGGCAGACUAUUGAUUAGAAGGUUUUGAGUUCAAAUCCCAGCACCACCA